AGAACGAAGAGUUGCCAUUUUCUAGAGGGAAUGCCAUUCGAAUGCUUUUCCCAGGUUUGCUGAGUGAGGAGAACUCGUUUCAGGGUCGAGCCUGUAUGUGUUUGGAAGUUAAGCACGUGUGUGCCAAAAGCUUUCUCAGUGUCCUUGUGCGAUGACGAGCUACUGCGUCUGUGCACUUCUCCCCAAGCUGUGUGAAUCUCUCUUGGAAUCGAUCGGUCUGCCGCUAAUGCCAUGCUGGAAUGGUAGAGCAGACUCAAUGGCCUAAUUCUGCUCCUAAGUCUUAUGAUCUUAUGUUGAGAGCCAAUGGAAGUCAUGUUAUUCCAUCUCUAUGUGCGAGAACUGGAGGAGAAGUGCGGGCUUUUGGUGGAGGAGAAGAGAAGAGGUCGGACGUGAGUCAAACGCUCCAGUAGAUCACCGGGAGUUAUCCCAGCCGAGGGUCGACAGAGUUCGAAGGAGAUCGAGGGGAGGAACAGAUACCGAAUUUCGUGAGCUCCAACGAAUUAUUGUGCACAGAACUGAUAAAAUUUAUUGCUUUGGCGCCUUUAUUUUAUUUGUUUCUACUAACCCAUCACCGAGAAAUAAUU